rnacentral:rRNA from 1 species
UACGAAGGGUGCAAGCGUUACUCGGAAUUACUGGGCGUAAAGCGUGCGUAGGUGGUUUGUUAAGUCUGAUGUGAAAGCCCUGGGCUCAACCUGGGAAUUGCAUUGGAUACUGGCAGGCUAGAGUGCGGUAGAGGAUGGCGGAAUUCCCGGUGUAGCAGUGAAAUGCGUAGAGAUCGGGAGGAACAUCUGUGGCGAAGGCGGUCUGCUGGGGUCGAACUGACGCUGAGGCGCGACAGCGUGGGGAGCAAACAGG